GUGCCAGCCGCCGCGGUAAUACGUAGGGGGCGAGCGUUGUCCGGAUUUACUGGGCGUAAAGGGCGAGUAGGCGGUUUGUUAAGUCAGGUGUGAAAUUCCAGGGCUCAACUCUGGAACUGCGCUUGAAACUGGCAGGCUAGAGGACAGGAGAGGGAAGCGGAAUUCCCGGUGUAGCGGUGAAAUGCGUAGAUAUCGGGAGGAAUACCAGUGGCGAAGGCGGCUUCCUGGACUGAACCUGACGCUGAGGAGCGAAAGCUGGGGGAGCAAACAGGAUUAGAUACCCUGGUAGUCCCAGCCGUAAACUAUGAGUGCUAGGUGUGGGGGGCAACAACCCUCCGUGCCGGAGUUAACACAAUAAGCACUCCGCCUGGGGAGUACGGCCGCAAGGCUAAAACUCAAAUGAAUUGGCGG
rnacentral:rRNA from 1 species